rnacentral:siRNA from 1 species
GAAGAAGAAGAACAACAACAACA